GAUGGGCGUCAGGCUUUGUUCCUUUCUCCCCACUCUGAGGCCGUCCAAAUCACUAGAAUCACAUCCCACAAGGGAGCCUUCUUUCUCCACUUCAGUCCCAGGUUCUCCUAGAUGCGUCCGCAGCAACGAAAGCCGUUUUCUGUAGUACGAGUUGGAGGUUGCUCCCAGUUGGACUCGGUUCGUAGCCCAGGGCACUUCUCUUGAUUCCUUCCUGCACGUAACUCAUAUUUGAAAUCACUCAUAUUUGCAGAGGGAAUCAAUAUUCAGAAUCUUCAACUCCCCUUACAGACGAGGAAACAGCCUCGACAAGCACCGAAAACAGUGCCUGCCAUUUGGAAUGCCCAAAUGAAUGAGUGACUUGGAUGAACUUCUGAGCUGAGAUCUGACUGAAGUUAGGAAGUGAGCCAGGAGAUGUCUGUGGAAGAGAAUUCCGGAUAGAGGGAACAGAAAAGGCAAAGCCCGGAAGCAGGCAGCUUGCAGGAUCUUAGUUCCCCAACCAGGGAUUGAACCCCGGCCUUCAGCAGGGAAAGUGCUGGACCGCCAGGGAAUUCCCUUAAUUUCUUUUUUUUAAACAGCUUUAUUGAGAUAUCUUUGACAUAUAAAAAUUGUAUAUAUU